CCAGCGGAGACGCAGGUGUGCCUUCGGGAACUCUGAGACAGGUGCUGCAUGGCUGUCGUCAGCUCGUGUUGUGAAAUGUUGGGUUAAGUCCCGCAACGAGCGCAACCCUUAUCCUUGUUUGCCAGCGAGUAAUGUCGGGAACUCCAGGGAGACUGCCGGUGAUAAACCGGAGGAAGGUGGGGACGACGUCAAGUCAUCAUGGCCCUUACGAGUAGGGCUACACACGUGCUACAAUGGCGCAUACAGAGGGCGGCCAACUUGCGAAAGUGAGCGAAUCCCAAAAAGUGCGUCGUAGUCCGGAUUGGAGUCUGCAACUCGACUCCAUGAAGUCGGAAUCGCUAGUAAUCGUGGAUCAGAAUGCCACGGUGAAUACGUUCCCGGGCCUUGUACACACCGCCCGUCACACCAUGGGAGUGGGCUGCAAAAGAAGUGGGUAGUUUAACCUUCGGGAGGACGCUCACCACUUUGUGGUUCAUGACUGGGGUGAAGUCGUAACAAGGUAGCGCUAGGGGAACCUGGCGCUGGAUCACCUCCUUAUACGAUGAU
rnacentral:rRNA from 1 species